rnacentral:rRNA from 1 species
AGGAGACAGGUGCUGCAUGGCUGUCGUCAGCUCGUGUCGUGAGAUUGUUGGGUUAAGUCCCGCAACGAGCGCAACCCUUGUCUUUAAUUGCCAUCAUUCAGUUGGGCACUUUAAAGAGACUGCCGGUGUUAAAACCGGAGAAGGUGGGAUGACGUCAAGUCCUCAUGGCCUUUAUGCCCAGGGCUACACACGUGCUACAAUGGGUGGUACAAAGAGAUGCAAUCUCGCAAGAGCAAGCAAACCUCAAAAAGCCAUCCUCAGUUCGGAUUGGAGUCUGCAACUCGACUCCAUGAAGUCGGAAUCGCUAGUAAUCGCGGAUCAGCACGCCGCGGUCGAAUACGUUCCCGGGCCUU